UACAAAAACAGAUUCCAGAAUUUUAUUAGGUAUUUUCCUGAAAUGGGAGACGGGAUUGAAGAAAUAGAAUCAGAAGGUGUUCCCGAAGAGUUUUAUGGAGCCAAAGUCAUUGGAUCCAGAAGCUUCCCUUGCCCUUGGUACCAAAAGGUACCCCUCUUGCUUGCGCUUAGUCCUAGAAUUAUCUCCGAAAUUGCUCGCUUUAAGCCUGACAUCAUUCACGCUUCUUCUCCUGGGAUUGUGGUUUUUGGUGCUUUGGCGAUAGCAAAAAUGCUAUCUAUACCAAUAGUAAUGUCUUAUCACAUACACGUCCCUGUGUAAGCUGUAGUUGAAAAGCGUGGGAAGAACCCUAUUUGUUUGGUUUUGGCUCCGACAAGAGAGCUUGCUGGUUAUGUUGAAAAGUAAUUCAGAGAAGCUCUAUCUCUCGGUGAUGCACUGAACAGAAGAGUGAGAACGGUCUGGAUACAUCAACAGCAGGUGCAUAUACAUGUAUAUAGCCAUGUCCAAUAAUUGGUAAAUAUGUUCCUGUCUAUAUCACCAUUGGUGACGAAGAAAAAUUGAAGCAUCAACACCACUGCAAAGGAAGCAGAUGCAGCAGAAGCCGAAGCAAAAGCAGCUAUAGCUUACACUGAUGAAGCUUCAAAGACACUGAGAGGACGAAACAUCUGCAAAAUGAUGGUUUAUAAGGUGACAGAGGAGGAAGAAGAAUGUGUUGCAGGAGAAGAGAGAGAGAGAGAAGCCUAGAAGUAGUGUAUGCUGAUGAUUUUCUACUUGGAAACUCUUUUUAGUUGUAACCAGUAAUCUCAGAUGCUAAAACUCUUCAUAUAUGUAACAAAUUAUCCUUUAGCUAGAGAACUUUUAGCAGAUUAAAAAUGUGUUAGAUAUUGUGAAAUUGGAAAGAUAUGUGGGCAAGUUAUACUGUUAUAGCAGGUAAAAAUAUUUGUUUUAUAGUCUGAGAAAGAAAUCGUUGGAGCCAUUAAUAAAUCGUGACCAUUUCUCUUC